UCCCUGGUGGUCGAGUGGCUAAGACUCUCUGCUACCACUGUUGGGGGCCCAGGUUCGAUCCCUGGUCAGGGAA
rnacentral:tRNA from 1 species